rnacentral:tRNA from 1 species
GGGCGGGUGGCGGAACCGGUAGACGCGGCGGACUUAAAAUCCGCUGGGGCCGAAGCCCCAUGUGGGUUCGACUCCCACCCCGCCUACCA